AGCACCCCCCAUCACAGAAGUUGCCUCGGAAAAAUUAUGCACAUUUUCAGGAUUAAAGAAACUAAAUUCAUCCUCCACAUCAUCGUUCCCAUCCUCUUCUUCGUCACCGUGCACCCUAGCACUACCUUUGUGUCGCUUGUAUCUAGUCUUGCAAUGCGGACACGCUUGAGUGCCCUCCUUCCUCUCAUACUCAUAGCAAGUCCGGCACACAGGGAAAGCACAUUCGUUACACGCGACAAACGGCUCCUUCUCUUGCUCGUCCCCCACCAACUCAAUACCAUCUUCACAUAUCUGACAGAUCUGCCCACUUGUUUGUUGCAAUGGCUUCGGCUUGCCGA
rnacentral:misc_RNA from 1 species